CCCCGCGACGCGCCGGGUGCUGGCUCAGCCUUUCGCUCUCCCGGCCUCCCCCUCCCUGGUUCCGCGCUCUGGUUCCGCCAUGGAAUCCAACAAGGAUGAAGCCGAGCGCUGUAUUAGCAUCGCCCUCAAGGCCAUCCAGAGCAACCAGCCUGACCGGGCGCUCCGCUUCCUGGAGAAGGCGCAGCGGCUGUACCCGACGCCGCGAGUUCGCGCACUGAUCGAGUCCCUCAACCAGAAACCACAGUCGGCCAGCGACCAACCACAACCCACAGAGGCAACCCAGGCGACCCAUAGGAAAGCAGGUGGAGCCGGCACCCCCUCAGCCAACGGUGAAGCCGGAGGAGGAGAGAGCACCAAAGGCUACACUGCCGAACAAGUAGCGGCCGUGAAAAGGGUCAAGCAAUGUAAAGAUUACUACGAGAUCCUGGGGGUGAGCAGAGGGGCCUCAGAUGAGGACCUGAAGAAGGCCUACCGCAGACUGGCCCUCAAGUUCCACCCUGACAAGAACCGCGCGCCUGGCGCCACUGAAGCUUUCAAAGCCAUUGGCACAGCAUACGCAGUACUUAGCAACCCAGAGAAAAGGAAGCAGUAUGACCAGUUCGGCGAUGACAAGAGCCAGGCAGCCCGGCACGGCCAUGGGCACGGGGACUUCCACCGCGGCUUUGAAGCUGACAUCUCCCCUGAAGACCUCUUCAACAUGUUCUUUGGAGGUGGCUUCCCAUCUAGUAACGUCCAUGUCUAUAGCAACGGCCGCAUGCGCUACACGUACCAUCAAAGGCAGGACCGCAGGGAGAACCAGGGUGAUGGUGGGCUGGGGGUGUUUGUCCAGCUGAUGCCCAUCCUCAUCCUGAUCCUCGUGUCAGCUCUCAGCCAGCUCAUGGUUUCCAGUCCACCCUACAGCCUCAGCCUGAGACCGUCGGUGGGCCACGUCCACAGGCGAGUCACUGACCACCUGAACGUCGUUUACUACGUGGCAGACACGUUCUCUGAGGAGUACACAGGCUCCAGCCUCAAAAUGGUUGAACGGAAUGUGGAAGACGAUUAUAUUGCCAAUCUCCGAAACAACUGUUGGAAGGAGAAGCAGCAAAAGGAAGGCUUGCUGUACCGGGCCCGCUACUUUGGCGACGCAGACAUGUACCACAAAGCACAGAAGAUGGGCACCCCGAGCUGUAACCGACUGUCAGAGCCAUGUACCAAGGACUCCAGAAGGCUUUUCCUCCCAGAGUCAACCACGUGGGGCCCAGGACGCUGGGGCAGAAGCCGACUCCUGAAGAAAGUCCAUGACCGUGGGCGCCUCUGUCUCUACCCUCCGUGGACAUGAUGCCACCCGGCCUUCUCUUGCACGUUGGAUAAAGGAUGCACCUGAACCAGAAGGGUUUUCUUAUGGUCACCCUCAAAUGAGGAUUUUUCUCCAAACAGCAGUUGCUGCCAGGGCAAGGGAGGGAGGUUUUAUUUAUUCCCACAGUUUAUACUGGGCCUUUUGGAAUUACCGUUUUUCCCAAAUUUUCCUCUGGUGGUGGGUGUGUCAUUGAGCCUGCCAUCCUCCAAAGCCUUACUACCCCAAGCUGCCAGCCAGGAGGGGAUCACUACCCUCCCAGAGCUUUUCUUCGCUCUUUUUAUAAAAGUCCCCCAACAAAUAGGAUUCUUGCUGGGAAAAGGAGCUUGGUUGAGGAGAAAUGUCAAAUACGGUUUUUAAACAAGGUCCUGCCCUGUGAUGAAGCGCCCUUCCCCCCCCCCCCCCCCCCCCCCGCCCGCCCAAAGAGAUGCUCAGAACUGGAUGUGGGUGAGAGCGCCCUGCCCGUGGUGGCCCUGGUGCUCGGCUCCCACCACCCCAACCCUCUGGUCUCAGUAGAUGUCCCUAGAUGGGCUGAGCCAUGUGCAAUAAGAACAUAGAUCCUAAUGGAUCCACUGAGAAGCUGUAUUUCUUGAAAUAGAAUUCUGAAAUUGUAUAUCUAUAAAUAUAUGUUUAUUAUGUGAUUGUUUGGCCUUGGUGGGUCUGUGUUGAGCAAGGGGGUUGAGCUGCGUGGGGAGCAGGACAUAAGCACCUGUUGCUGCUGACUCCAGCCCAUACCACCGGGAGUUUUGGUGGCAAGCCUGAAUGUCCCCUCGCCCCAGCUGACAGCCGCUUCAGUCACAAGUGUUGUUCCAGGGCUGACUCCAUCCCCGCAAAGGGUAAGAGGCUCAAUUAGGCCAGGGCCCUGGGGUCCCUGACGCCAGUCCAGGGUGGGCAGCCCGGGCCACGAUCACAGCCCCUGCCUCCCCUUGGUCCUGCUCCCUCCCUUCCAUCCCUCUGAUUCCAUCAGGCCUGCUGUGAGCCCAGCAGAUUUCCCUUCUCCCCAGCCCGGAGCUCGAGCCCACCCUGGCCCAGGGCAAGGGAAAAGUUCUCCAAGUUUCUUUCCGUCUCUGGCUGCACAGCCUUCCCAGCCACCCUCCUCCCCCAGAGGGCUGGAGAAGCUCGAAAUAUGGCAGCCCAAGUAGGGCUUUACGUGAAUGGAGCAGCAGAUCUGCCCGGGCCUCCCAGAGACAGGGCACAGCAGCCCUGACUGGUGGCCCCAGGCCCCUCCUGCUGCCGCUCCAACCAAAGACAGGCAGGCUGCCCGGUGGUGCCACUGCAGCCCGGGAGCUCAUUGGCUGCCCCCACCCGGGUCACUGCAGCCUGCCCAGCCUGGUCUGCGAGCUGCCACUUGUUGGCUGCACUUGGCAGGGGCGUUGCCAGCCGCCCCCAUUAACCCACCCGAACCCCCUGCCCUCGGCUGUGUGGCUCCGUGAGCCAAAAGGGGUGGGACAGACGCCGUCGACUGUUUGCUGCAAAAAGGAGCCUUUGACAAGCGUCCCCACCCACUGUCAGGUGGCAAAACAAGCGCCUAGUCCAUCCAGGCUCCUGGGAUCAGCCAGCUUAUCUCCUUGUCCCAGGCUGCCCCCAGGUCUCGAGAAAGGAACUGCUCCAAGGGGCAAGGAACACACACCCCAGCCUGACUGUAACCUCAUCCCUGCCCCGAGUUCCCUGGGCAGGGUCACCUGGUUGUUGAGGGCAGGCGCACAGACAGAUUCGGACACCGAAACCACAAAGGCGGCUGAGACUCGGGCUGCCCUGGAGGAACUACCGGCCGGGUAGGUGAACCGGCGUUCAGCAGACCCCAGUGGGCAGAGGACUGUGACGGCAACAAACCUGGGAGCAUGGAGGUGCGAGCAGCUCUGGCUGGGGACUCUCGGUAAAGAAACUGGCAUCUGUGAAGGAGGUGAGAGUGUGGGCAGAGCCUCGGGUGGGGUGAGUCCUCUGGCUAGAGGGAACAGUGUGGGCAAAGUCCUGAAGCUGGGUAAGUACAGGAGGGACCGCAUUCAGGGAACAAUGCGUAUGCCAGGUCCCCAAUCUAUAAUUGUCACCUCACAAGGUACACCCAGUGGCCUUGGGCAGAGAAAGAACUUCACUGGGAAUGAAUGAACAAGAGACCCUGAGCCUCCCGAAUCCUGGCUGUCCCCUGUCCACUCUGUUCAGCAUUCAGCAAGCGUGUCUGAGCCUUUCUUGGUGCUGGGCCCUGCCCUCAGAGACAGCCCUGUAAGGCCAGCCAUGCGGGAGGCGGGCAGGGGAGUGGGGACAGAGGUUGGCAAAGCUGGAGGGCUAGGCCGUGGCAUUCACACUGUCACCCCUGUCCCCCCGACCCUCAUGGAGGGAUGUUUCACCAGGAACAGAGCCCAGGCUUCCUGUUACUUCCAAUAGCCCCACAGCUGUUUGGGCAGGAAAUAAAGGUCCAGGGCCCAGACAGGACAAGGGGUGCGAGGGGCAUCUCUAGGACCCCCAUGGCCAAACAGCCCUCCCAGAGCCCAGGAGUUGGGGCUGUGCUUGGGAGAAGAGUGGGGAGUCUGACUGCCACACCCUGUUUACCCCAUUCUCCCCUUUCCCUUCAUUAAUUUAGUCUAAACAAAGUCCCAGGGAGGGCCUGGCUGCCUUCUGUAGCUCUGACUCGGGAUGGAGUUUUCCUUGGGGAGGACGGGGUACACUUCUCCAGUGGAGCUGGUACUCGUAAGGCCAAGAGGUCAGGCUUAGGGCCUUCAGGGACUCUGGUCAGCACUCCCACUACCUUAACUGGAUGGACUGUUGCCAUUUUUCUGAUGGACACAGUGAAGGGGCCCAGGAGACAGGCACCCAAAUAGUGCAGGAGGAUGCUGACGAUCUCUUUACAGAUAAGGGAAGUGGAGGCCGGAAGGAUGGAGUGAGGUCCUUUUCCUGUCUCCAGGUGACCUGCAGGCCCUCACACUCUGACCUCGCUGCCCGACGCAGCUCCUUCUGCCCGGAGCCUCCCUGUGGCUCCACUACUGUCCUCUGGGAGGCCUGCCUGUGUUCCCACAGCCUGGGCCUGCCCUGCCCUCUCACUGAAGGUGCUCGUGCAGUUCUUGGAAGAAGGCUUCACAGCCUGAAGAGGCAAGGGCCUGUCUGGGGCCUGUCCACUUGUUCAGCGCUGCAGUCCUGGGGCCUGGACACAGUGGGGCCUCCA